GACGAACGCUGGCGGCGUGCCUAAUACAUGCAAGUCGAACGAAGCUUUUUUAACUGGUGCUUGCACCGACUUAAACAACUGAGUGGCGAACGGGUGAGUAACACGUGGGUAACCUGCCCCAAAGCGGGGGAUAACAUUUGGAAACAGAUGCUAAUACCGCAUAACCACAGAAACCACAUGGUUUCUGUGUCAAAGAUGGUUUCGGCUAUCACUUUGGGAUGGACCCGCGGCGUAUUAGCUAGUUGGUAAGGUAAUGGCUUACCAAGGCAAUGUUAGGUAGCCGAACUGGGAGGUUGAUCGGCCACAUUGGGACUGAGACACGGCCCAAACUCCUACGGGAGGCAGCAGUAGGGAAUCUUCCACAAUGGACGAAAGUCUGAUGGAGCAACGCCGCGUGAGUGAAGAAGGUUUUCGGAUCGUAAAACUCUGUUGUCAGAGAAGAACGUGUGCGAGAGUAACUGUUCGUGCAGUGACGGUAUCUGGCCAGAAAGCCACGGCUAACUACGUGCCAGCAGCCGCCGUAA
rnacentral:rRNA from 1 species